AAUUUUCAAUUUAAAUCUUCAACUGGGGAACAGUGCGUCCGGGGUCGGCGCAUGAAUUUUUGCAACUCUUAACGCUGAACCCUAACCAACGACUUUUACCCACAAAAAUCCUUUCGCUGCUGUCGCCGCCGCCGCCGCCGCCUCCGCCUCUUUCCCCGACCAUCGUCUAGCCCUAGUCGUCGCCGAUAGAGAUCGGAGCAGCGGAGAGUUUCGGGCCCCAUCUCGGCAGCCGCUGCUCGCCCCCGCUGCCGGUAUCUCCGUCGUGGCGCCGCCAACGCUCCACAAUAGCAAGCACGAUUAGAACUUCUAUUUAGAGCCAAGCUAGUGUCUCGGCAAGCCUAGCUCGUAUGGGGCGUGACAAUGUUUCUCCCUGGCAUCAGGCUUCAAACAACCAGUCAAGCAUAGGCGCAUAAGUUUGCCAAUUUUGAUAUGGAUCUGGCUUCAUUCAAAUUGGAUGUUGAUGAGCUUUUGGACAAGUUUACUGAUGGAAACUAUACCACAUUGGCUGAUAUGAAGAGAUUGUGGAUGUCUAAGAGAUUUUCUUACAUCUUUGAAGCAAAACCUAGUUCCAAAGAGGGCUUAUUUAUGCAAUCUCUAUACUCCUAUUCAAUUAGGCAUAUGGUUUCAGUAGGUGCGUUUUCAAGGAGAUUGGGUGGGCUUUACUGCCUUUACUGCCUCUAUGAGACUCAACCAUAUCAUCCAUAUUUCAAAAUUUAUCUCUCUCUUGGUGAGUUAAAGAGUCUCAAAAUGCUUGUUGUUGAUGCCAAAACUAUGGGGAUUGGUGUUGUUCCUGCACUGGUGAAGAGAAUGCUUGAUAAGGACACAUUUUUGUUUGGUUCAGUUGAUAAUGUUGGUGGGUACCAAAUAGUUGAUGAAGCAAUUAAGGUUGAGAACAAGUGUGUUCAAAUAGCAUAUGAAAGAUUAAUGGAAAAUACCGAGAUUGACCACUAUCUGCAAAUGGACCUUGGAAGAGAAUUGGAAUUUGACACGCUAAAGAAGAUGUCAGAAGAAAAUGCUGAAGCUAAGGAAUUGGCUUUAUCAGCUUACGACUUGGCCACUGGAGACGAUGCUAAGGACAUUGCGGACCACAAGAACUUAAUAGGGGACAAGCUCGAUGACAUUGUGAAACAGUGGGAUGCAGAAAAGGAGGCAUUUUGUGAGCAGACUGGUAUCAGUAUAUGCAACGAGUCAGUGGUGACCGAUGACUUCGCCGAGAUAGAACUCCUCCUGAACGAGUAAUGGCAUUGAUACCAACUCACUGAAACAACGUCUCAUGCUGCUGUAAGAGCGUUCGUGGAUCUGUGCAUUUGGUUAACACUAAACAACUCUUACUCGGGAGAUUGCGUUGGAGAUUGCCUAAUUAGCGGUUGAACACUCAAUGGGCUCGAUGGCCUUGAGCUGCUCACGACCUCGUUCAUGCCCAAUUCAUCGCCAUUCCCUUCUCGAUUCAUCUCCUCCAACGAAGGUACCGCUCCUGCCAUGCAAACACACCCCAACGUCACCAGCAUACAUCAUCCCGAUCCCUGGCCUCCAUCCCAUAUCCAGAUCCGCCAUCUACUUGCUCUGCGACGCCCAGAGGAACCCUAUGGCGCCGGUGAUGGCCCCCAUCUUUCCGGCCGCCCUCGACAUCCUGUGGCACGUCGACCGGAGCCUUGCCGGGAACAGCUCUGCCGGCACGAUGAAAGUGGUCGUGUUGGGGCCGAAGUUGGAGAAGAAGAACGUCAAGGAAUAGAGGAUUAUGUACCCGGCGUUGAAGUGCUGCUUCCAGUACUUGUCGUAUGGGAUCACCAGGGAGAAGAGGGAGAUGCUCAUGAAGAAGAAGCCGCACAAUUGGAUCCGCCUCCGCCCGGUCCGGUCGAUGAAGUAGAUGGUCACGAAGUACCCAGGGAUGGUGGAGGCCACGACCACUGGCGGAGCCAGGAUUUGUAGCCCGCCCGGGCUACAAAUCUCCUCCAGAUUGCUCCCCAGGCUAUAGGGGUUAUUUUCUUUAUUUAGGAAUCAAAAUUUAAUGACAUCAACGGGUAAAAUAUACACUACUUUAGUAAGUC